rnacentral:lncRNA from 13 species
AUGGCGGCUUUUUAUUUGAUACAUGUUCUGUCAAUCAUUAUUAUUGGAGGUACACUGAAUGGCCAUACGGAUUACAUGAAAAGUAUGGGUUGUGUUCCAAAACAUACCACUUUGUCAGUCAUUUGUCUUCUAACAAUACUGACAUGCAGUAAGUGUAAUGACAUAGGGGAAUGUAAUAAUUUCAGUGCUGAAAACCACUGAAAACCAGUCAUGACAUCAUUUUUAUAAUCACAGAAAGCAGAUGUGUCUGUAUGACUAAUGAUCUCUUCAAACUGGGCCCCUAAGAAGACUUAGAAUUUCACCCAAUUUCUAUAUCCUAAAAUUAUCAGUGUGUUAGGUUAAACUAUCUCACAGUAUUUGACCUGUUCAGUGCCUUUUUUAGGUGGACAGGAAUCACUAGUGUACAAUAGAAUUGGCGCAGAGAUCUGUGAGUGUAUUUUACUGUUAUGUAAAUAGGAUGUAAAGUAGUGUGUGUAAAAAAAACUAUUUUCCACUUCCAAUGUCUGAUUUACAUAGUUUUUUUACUAUAUAUGGUCACUCUGUUCAUAAACUUGUAUACUGUAAACUCUAUAACAGCUGCUAUUUUUAAAGGGUCGGGUUGGGUCUUAAUAUUAUAUACUAUAUGAUUUUGUUAUAUUCACGUUUUAAUAUUACAUUUACAGUGUAAAUUACAGCUUGUUUCACUCUUUUUGUCUGUGUGUCUGUGUGUCUGUGUGUCUCCUAAAGUAAACCUUCAGACAAAGAUUCUUGCAGCAAUACAGUUUUCUGCAACGCAAACCCUCUCAACACAAUUCAAGAUAUUCUGGGUCAAGUUCUUACUCUGGGUAUUAUUUUCCCACUUUCCAUGUCAAUCAUAUCAAUAAGACCUCAGUCUAUGGGUUUUGGAUGGCCACCGUCCACCAUGACCCAGUUCCUGACCAGAGGAUGAGUGGCAACAUUUGGUUAAUGCUUACAUAAUGUUUGGGCAGCGCUAGAGAUGUUCAGUUCACGCUUAGACAGCAAUUGGGCAACACUAGACACCGUGGCAUGCUUCUUCCGUCAUGUGGGGUUCUCAUUUGAUACAUGACCCCUCGGUGCUGAGGAGAAAAUGGCCGACAUGUCAGCGCUGACCUCAGCCUCAUCCGCGGUGGCUUGUCACGAACCAACCCCAAGGCUUUGUGCCUCAUCAUAACGGGACGUGAAAUAGCUUUUUCCCCCGCUUUUUCCGGACUAACAGCCCAACAGUCAAUAGGUCACGUCUGGUGCUUCUGGGAAAUAAAUCCAUUUAAAAGAUUUGUCUGUUGGGUAAAUUCACAGUGGUGUAAAGUACAUUAAAUUAUUACUUAAGUCGUUUUUGGGGGUAUCUUUACUUAAUUUUUUUGACAACUUUUACUUCACUACAUUCUAAAGAAAAUGAUGUACGUUUUACGCCAUACAUUUUCAGAUUACGGUAUGAAUGACACCCAAAAGUACUUGUUACAUUUUGAAUGCUUAGCAGGACAGGAAAAUGGUCUAGUUCAUGUCCUUUUCUAGAGCUCAUCCCUGCUGCCUCUGAUCUGGAGGACUAAACUCACAUGCUUCGUUCGUAACUGAUGUUGGAGUGUGCCACUGGCUAUCCGUAAAUAAAUAAAAAUACAAGAAAAUGGGUUGCUUAAUAUAAAUCAUUUAUACUUUUACUUCUUAUACUUAAGUAUAUUUGAGCAAUUACGUUUACUUUUGAUACUUAAGUAUAUUUAAAACCAAAU